rnacentral:rRNA from 1 species
GAUGAACGCUGGCGGCGUGCCUAAUACAUGCAAGUCGAGCGAACAGAUGAGGAGCUUGCUCCUCUGACGUUAGCGGCGGACGGGUGAGUAACACGUGGAUAACCUGCCUAUAAGACUGGGAUAACUUCGGGAAACCGGAGCUAAUACCGGAUAAUAUAUUGAACCGCAUGGUUCAAUAGCGAAAGACGGUUUUGCUGUCACUUAUAGAUGGAUCCGCGCCGCAUUAGCUAGUUGGUAAGGUAACGGCUUACCAAGGCAACGAUGCGUAGCCGACCUGAGAGGGUGAUCGGCCACACUGGAACUGAGACACGGUCCAGACUCCUACGGGAGGCAGCAGUAGGGAAUCUUCCGCAAUGGGCGAAAGCUUGACGGAGCAACGCCGCGUGAGUGAUGAAGGUCUUCGGAUCGUAAAACUCUGUUAUUAGGGAAGAACAAAUGUGUAAGUAACUAUGCACGUCUUGACGGUACCUAAUCAGAAAGCCACGGCUAACUACGUG